rnacentral:rRNA from 1 species
CUUGAACGCUAGCGGGAUGCUUUACACAUGCAAGUCGAACGAGCGGCGGACGGGGGAGUAAUGUAUGGGGACUGCCCGAUAGAGGGGGAUAACUACUGGAAACGGUAGCUAAUACCGCAUACUAUCGGAUAACCCAUAUGGGAUUAGCUAGUAGGUGAGGUAAUGGCUCACCUAGGCGACGAUCCCUAGCUGGUCUGAGAGGAUGAUCAGCCACACUGGGAGUGAGCCACGGCCCAGACUCCUCCGGAGGCAGCAGUGGGGAAUAUUGCACAAUUGGCGCAAGCCUGAUGCAGCCAUGCCGCGUGUAUGAAGAAGGCCCUAGGGUUGUAAAGUACUUUCAGUCGGGAGGCGUUACCGACAGAAGAAGCACCGGCUAACUCCGUGCCAGCCGCCGCGGUAAUUC